ensembl:lncRNA
GACAAUUUCAGGUACACGACAAAAGGACGUAUAGUGAAAACACACACACACACACACACACACACACACGGAGGAGGUAGCAGAUGGAAUGAGGAAUAAGGCGUGAUGAAAAAUGCAUGUGUUAUAACAAAACACGCUCCGUACGACUGAGGGUUCAAACCAGGACAAGGUGCAUAGAUUUCGUUCGUUUUGUGCUCACGGGGAGCACACUAAAUGUCCACGUGCCAUUCCUUUACAUUUCCCAACCCUAAGGCUUGCUCUCCGUUAUGUAUAUUUAAAAAAAAAAAAAAGUACAGUCAUUAAUAAUCUGUAUCACAGGAGUAAGGGCGGAAAUAAAAUAAAAAAAGAGAACCAUCCGGACAUCUCCUUAGAGUUUAUCGCAAUCAUAAAUAGCUGUAUCUAUAAUUUAGGAAGGAUGAUUUGGCUGAGACGUGGACGCUCGAGCAGGGCACGCAUUAUCCCAUCCGGCUGCCUCCGUGAGCGAAUCUGUAUCUAUAGGUUCCUCCGUCACUCAUGUGUCUGGUUCUUUAUUAACGGCUAUUGCUUAGAGACGUCGUCCGUUUCGUUCGACGCCGUGCGUCUCUCCGUCUCUCGCCUCUCCUCCUUGCUUCUCCUAGUAAAGGAGGCGUGGCUUGUGUUUGCACAAUACUGAAUGACAUUGCAUCACGUCGUGUCACAUCGAACCGGCUCUAAAUAACAUUCUACUGAAUAGCUGGCUGCUAUCAAAACUGACUCGACUCGUCGUCUAAUUACCGACCCCUUCAUUAUCAGGCCGUGUGUGUGUGUGUGUGUCUGUGUGUCAAAAAAAAAAAAAGAGUGCUGGCGUAAGACAAAUGCAUAGUUCAUUGCAGGGAGUAGGACAGCAAAACUACUCUAUAGGCAUUAAGAACUGGGACGCGGGGUUAAAUCUCAUACGACUGAAGAAUAUAUCUGCUGUGUCGAGCUUAGCCAAUUAGGAACGAGAUCUGAAACGGCUAUGACUUAAUUGCCUCCAUACUUCCUCGUUAUCUUGUUUAUCGCGUGAAAUAUAAAACAAAUGCUCUUGCUUAAAAAGUGCGCGGCGAUAUUACGGCAGGGAUAAAUCUCCCUCCGCCACGUUUCAAAGAAAUCGGGCUGUAAUUAAUAUCGCGCUAACGUCUGGCUAUUAUUCAUCCAUUGGAAGCUUAGAAUAAUUGUUCUGAUAGUGAUGUGACAGAAAGACAUAGAGCAGACAUAAAUCCUUCUCGCCGUCUGACAGCCAGCCAGUUCAGACUGAUUGGGUUCGAUCUGUGUUUAAGGGGUGGAGAUGUGGGUUUAAAAGCGUGAAUCGCACCCCCCGAUUUAAAUCGGCUAACGAUCGGUUUGAUUAGGGAGGGACGUCGGGGCAGCGGAACGGCCAGACGGUCCUCGAGCCGUCACAGCCGUGCAGUUUGGCGCUGAAAGACAGACUACCUCCGAGUUUUCGGCCAGGAUUGCAUUUGUAUUCAGAAAGACACGAGCCCUUGUGGGCUACUCCGUCGAAAGAGCACGCUCGAUGCAGACGACGCAGAGUGCAGAGAAGACGCUCCCCGGCUGCGCUGCGCCUCCCGCCGGCAUCCUCGACCUUUGCCAAGCCUCCUGGGUCCAGCCUCCCGGCCGCUCCAUCCAUUCCUCGCGCCCCACUCUGGGAAGCCAGUGAUCCACACUCACUCACUCAAGCCUUUGCACCUGCA